UCAUUUCGCCCCUGUAGCUUCCAGGUUCCCUUCCCCUCCCUCUCGUUCCCUUGUCAUUCCCAACACGCAACCAGAACAGAGUCCAGAGAGAGAUUCAUGGCGACCCGGUGGUUCCCUAUCCGCUCGAUUAGCUAGGGUGUGGUGAGGCGUCCGGCGUUCGCCCUCCGGCUGCUUCGCUCCCGUCCGGCCGCCCACCCCCUCCUGCUCCCCCGCUGUCAGCGCCGUUGGUCUGCAGCAUCUCUCGACCACCGCACCCACCCCCGGCCUCUAUUUCUGCCCCGGCGACUUCGCUGGUCUUCGUGAUUCGUUACUGGGGUCUAAUAGCAAGAGAAUUAAGUCGGUCAUUUUGGCUUCAUCUUACAUGGAGUGCAUCUUCAUCUUGUUGAUUCUGGGAAGUAGGAGAGGGAACUGUUCACAGGGAGGUAGAGAAGAUUGCCAGGAGAGGAUCUCUUACAUGUGCAUCCAUGAUUUUCUCCAGGUUUGCCCUCUGGAUCUUGGAGGAAUUCCCCCUGUGAUUUCUUCUUUGAUGGGGUGGACAAGCACAUCGACACAUUCAGGGGACAGGAGCAAAACGGAGGGCAUGUGACACUUGUUGAACUCUGUGUUGCCAAAAAAUAUGACAAAGGAUUUCAAUCGAAUGCAAAACAGACAGUCCCCGAAACGCAUAUCAUCUUGGAUUUAUUGGUGGAUUUACAGUGUCUUUUUAGUGGAUUUUACAGUAGUUUCUUUAAUGUUCCUUACAGUGUAAUUCUUAGUGUUUUAUCUUAGCAGUUUUUCAGUGCAAAAGUGUAAUUCUAGUGGAUUUUACACUGUAAUUGUUAGUGUUUAAUCUUAGCAAUUUUUUAGUGGAGUUACAAUGUAAUUUUAGUGGAUUUUUGCAGUGUCACUUUAAUGCAUCUUUCAUUAUAAUUCUCAGUGGGCAUGAUAGAAAUUAAUGUGGUUUUUAGUGAAUUUUACACUGUAUUUGUCAAUGUAUUUUUUAGGUGACAUGGUCUUGGUGUUUUUUCUCCCUUUAUUAGCCUAGUGAUCAUGGAAAAGCUUUGGGUGUAUCGUUGUGGUUCUUUCAAUUCCUCUUGGUUGUCAUUCUGUCCGGGUUGGAAAAGUUGGGGUGUGGACCCGUUAAUUUGUUUAAAAGCGGGGCAGAAAAGAAAACAUGGGGACAGGGGAUAGUUGGCAUACUGUGGUUGGCUGAAAAUCUGGAUGAAAGCUAAUUGAAUUUCAUCCGGAUGUAGAAUAGACAGUCCCUAAAUAAUUCCUCAUCCCAGUCGAUCGACCCAGCCAUCCGACACGUGACUGGACUCCAUCUCACCCAUCCGCCCGCACCGCUCACCAGACGAGGUAAUUUAUUCACUACCAACUGUUUUUUUACGAUGGGCCCCACUCUCCGCAGUUUCUGAUGCUAUUUGGGAACGGAAGCGGCGAGCGGUUCGGAGCUGAGCGACUAGGUUUCCGCGGUGAGCCGACGGCAGCUGCCGGUGGAUUCGGGUCUGCGCGACGCUGGGAGUGGCCCUGUUGGCUGGGUGCAGCAUCCAGGCGAGCAGCGUUUUCCUCGUCGGCCGACGGCCAUGCCACGACCAGCCUCCACCCUCCGCUCCCUUCGUCGCGCUGGCGAUGGCCCGGCCUGCCUGCCAUUCCCCGCCCCCGAGCCCUGCCAUAUCCUACCGUUGUCCCAUCGGGGCCGGAAUCCCUCCCACUUCCUUUUUCCUUUUUGUUCCGCAUAACAACAGGGAGUCUCUGUAUGUAGCAACGACAGCGGCCCCCUUCCUACAACCUUUGAAAGCAGACUUCGCGUAAGAUGCCCUUACUUCUUUAACGAGCUAGACGAGGCUCCAUGGCCUUCGUGUCCUAGCUGCUACCCUCCGGACAGGUUUCUCUUUUUUCCUGUUUCCUUCUCCCCCUCUGUAUGUGUGUGCAUGAGUGCGUCUGUAUUCUUCUGAUUAGUCAAGUACUGAUGGUUAGAUUAAUUGGCAUGUUAUGCAGGACGAGUAUUUUGCAGGAAGCCCCAUUAGUAGGUUUAUAUUAUUGUUUGGCUUUGGCUUCUGUAUAUGUUUAUUCCCAAUUAGGAAUCAGCUACUGUACCACAGUAGCAUGUCUCCCAUUCUGAAUCUCCAAUGUAUUUUAGAAAUCCUAUAUUAAUCAUUUAAUUUAUGACAUAAUUGGAGAAUCCUCAAACAAAACUUGUUGAUUUGAUGGUUGCAAACCUUAAUGUUUCCAUUUUUCAAAUGCCAUGUAAUGUUUCUCAUAGGCUAGACAUAUACAUGUUGGCUUAAAUCUGCAUUUAUGCUUGGCUGUCUAUCUAAAUCCAAUUUCUUCCUUUAUUUUUGUUGGUUUGAUGAUGCAUUUCUCUCAGAGCUUAGUUAUACUGUUGUUAGCUGAAUUUAAUCGUAGAAUGAUCUUCUUUCCAUGUCAUGUAAAAAUAGCAACCUUCUCUUCUUUAUGUUAUGAUGAUUUUAGAAUGUUAUAGGUAUACUGUUGUUAACUGAAUUUAAUUAUGGACUGAUCUGAUUUCCAUGCCAUGAGCAAGUAUUGAUUUAUUCUCCCAUGGGAAGUAUCUGCUCCAUGCUCCAGUUUGGUCACAUUUAGUAAGAAAUUCAGUUAUUUGAAUUUGAAUAGAUUGCCCAUAUGCAGAGGUUAAAGCAUUGUAUUUUUUAUUUUGAUCUCAGCCCCAUAUUUACUUUUUUAGGGCAUAGCUGUCCUACAAGCUAAAUACUCGUUUCGAGCUGAGAUUAUGUGUCGCCACCUUCCCCUCUCCAUAAACGAUUGCCAGUGACACCUGCAUCAACGACUGCUUGGUUCUCUCCUGAGAAGACAAGUGUGCAAAAAUCUUCCUACGAAAUCUUGCUGUGGUUAAGCUGGCAAUUUCCAUCACAAUCUGGGCAAAAGACAUUCUGGCAGCCAUUCUUCUACUUGCUGCACUGCAUUUUUAUGUAUUUUCAUUCCACAUGAGCACGUUCAUGUGUUUUCAAUUUUUUUUGAAGCUAUGGCCAUUCAUAUCUUGUAUUCUGCUGAAAUAAUGAAUGUAAAUAUUGUUUACUAUAA